rnacentral:rRNA from 1 species
AACCGGAUUAGAUACCCUGGUAGUCCACGCCCUAAACGAUGUCUACUAGUUGUCGGGUCUUAAUUGACUUGGUAACGCAGCUAACGCGUGAAGUAGACCGCCUGGGGAGUACGGUCGCAAGAUUAAAACUCAAAGGAAUUGACGGGGACCCGCACAAGCGGUGGAUGAUGUGGAUUAAUUCGAUGCAACGCGAAAAACCUUACCUACCCUUGACAUGUACAGAAUCCCGAAGAGAUUUGGGAGUGUUCGAAAGAAAACUGUAACACAGGUGCUGCAUGGCUGUCGUCAGCUCGUGUCGUGAGAUGUUGGGUUAAGUCCCGCAACGAGCGCAACCCUUGUCAUUAGUUGCUACGAAAGGGCACUCUAAUGAGACUGCCGGUGACAAACCGGAGGAAGGUGGGGAUGACGUCAAGUCCUCAUGGCCCUUAUGGGUAGGGCUUCACACGUCAUACAAUGGUACAUACAGAGGGCCGCCAACCCGCGAGGGGGAGCUAAUCCCAGAAAGUGUAUCGUAGUCCGGAUUGUAGUCUGCAACUCGACUGCAUGAAGUUGGAAUCGCUAGUAAUCGCGGAUCAGCAUGUCGCGGUGAAUGCGUUCCCGGGUCUUGUACACACCGCCCGUCACACCAUGGGAGCGGGUUUUACCAGAAGUAGGUAGCCUAACCGUAAGGAGGGCGCUUACCACGGUAGGAUUCGUGACUGGGGUGAAGUCGUAACAAGGUAGCCGUA